ACUAGUCCUAGCCCAUACAUCAUAACAGCCAAACAACUACAAUUUUAUUAAAUAAAACAAAACAUUUAUCCUGAUUAAAGUAUAGGAGAUAGAAAUUUUUAACUGGAGCUAUAGAGAUAGUACCGUAAGGGAAAGAUGAAAGAAACAACUUAUAGUAAAACAAAGCAAAGACUAAACCUUUUACCUUUUGCAUAAUGAAUUAACUAGAACCAACUUCACAAAAAGAAUUUAAGCCAAGUACCCCGAAACCAGACGAGCUACUUAUGAGCAGCUGUCAGAGCUAAUCCGUCUAUGUGGCAAAAUAGUGGAAUGACUCCUAAGUAGAGGUGAAAAGCCUACCGAGCCUGGUGAUAGCUGGUUAUCCAGAUAAGAAUCUUAGUUCAACUUUAAAUUUACCCUACGCACUCAUAAUCUAAAUGUAAAUUUAAUUGUUAAUCUAAAGAGGUACAGCUCUUUAGACAAAGGAGAAAACCUUUAUUAGAGAGUAAAAUAUAUAUAACUCCCAUAGUUGGCUUAAAAGCAGCCAUCAAUUAAAAAAGCGUUCAAGCUUAACUCAACACACUAAACUUAAUCCAAAGAUUAUAAUUCAACUCCUAAAAGUUCACUGGAUUAAUCUAUAGAUAAUCAUAGAAGCAAUAAUGUUAAUAUGAGUAACAAGAAAUACCUUUCUCCCUGCAUAAGUUUAUAUCAGCCCGAAUAAAUCACUGAUAGUUAACAAGCCUAUAAUUUUAUCUACAACCUUUAGCUCUUAUUAAUUAUAAUGUUAACCCAACACCGGCAUGCACUAUAAAGGGAAAGAUUAAAAAAAGUAAAAGGAACUCGGCAAACACUAACCCCGCCUGUUUACCAAAAACAUCACCUCUAGCAUAUAUAGUAUUAGAGGCACUGCCUGCCCAGUGACACAUGUUCAACGGCCGCGGUAUCCUGACCGUGCAAAGGUAGCAUAAUCAUUUGUUCUUUAAAUAGGGACUUGCAUGAAUGGCCAAACGAGGGUUUAUCUGUCUCUUACUUUUAAUCAGUGAAAUUGACCUUCCCGUGAAGAGGCGGGAAUAAACAAAUAAGACGAGAAGACCCUAUGGAGCUUAAAUCUACUAGUCCAAGUGUCUUUUACAUUAAAUCUACAAGAGAUAAAAUUCACCACCUAUGGGCUAAUAAUUUUGGUUGGGGUGACCUCGGAGUACAAGCUAACCUCCGAAUGAUCUUAAUCUAGACUCUUAACCCGUCUAAAUUCUAAUUCAUAAAUUGACCCAAACUAUUGAUCAACGGAACAAGUUACCCUAGGGAUAACAGCGCAAUCCUACUCAAGAGUCCAUAUCGACAGUAAGGGUUUACGACCUCGAUGUUGGAUCAGGACAUCCAAAUGGUGUAGCAGCUAUUAAUGGUUCGUUUGUUCAACGAUUAAAGUCCUACGUGAUCUGAGUUCAGACCGGAGCAAUCCAGGUCGGUUUCUAUCUAUUAAAAAUUUCUUCCAGUACGAAAGGACAAGAGAAAUAAGGCCAAUCCCCAUAACAUGCCUUAUGCUUAAUAGAUGAAAUAAUCUUAAUCUAAUUAACUAUUAAUACAUUCUACCCUAGAACAGGGUU
rnacentral:rRNA from 1 species